AUGGGGUUUGCCUGUGUUGGCCAUGCUGGACUCGAACUCCUGACCUCAGGUGGUAACACCUACCUUGGCCUCCCAAAGUGCUGGGAUUACAGGUGUGAGCUGCUGUACCCGGCCUGCAAAUUUUCUUACAAAAAGUAGGAAAAUAGGGCAGGUAUAAAAAUUACAGGUUGAGCAUAUUUCUAAUCCAAGAAGCUCCAACCUCUGAAACUGAGCUGUGACAUAACAAUUAUAAAAUCCCUAGCCUACCCUCAUGGUGGUUUAUAGUCAAAAUGCAGGUACACAACACUUCAUUGUCCCUGAGGAACAAGUAGUUAACCUUCAGGGUAUGUGGAUAUGAAGCAUAAGUGAAUUUCCUGUAUAGACCUAGGUCCCAAGUGUUUCAGAUAAGAUACCUUGUAUAUAGUAGGUUGGACUUCUGGUUCUCUCUGCCACAAAAUUUAGGUAAUUUGGGGGCAAUCCUGACCUCAGGUGGUCUGUCUGCCUUGGUCUUCCAAAGUGCUGGGAUUAUAGGUGUGAGCCACUGCUUCUGGCCAGGAAUACAUUUUAAAUGAAGCUCAUUUUUUAACCAAAAGCUAGCUUCAAGCUUCACUGAGGUAAAGGAAAAAGCACAUUGAUUUGCUUGAUAAUAGGUAAGUGGUAUGGUGUGAUGAGGAAAAUAGGGACAAUUUGGGAUUAGCUGUUCUACUCUGGGAGGUAGAGAAUUGUUUAGAGAAAGUGGAAUCUACAGCUAAAAUGAGAAGGUGGCGUAAAGGGAAGAAUGACAUCAGAUAGGAAAUAAACGAAUUGAUAAUGUAGACUGGCUUGGGACCACAAGGAAGUAGGUUAGUGGUUAGAUCCUGUAGGGGAACACAGGAAGCUACUGAGGGUUUUUUUAAAUGGAGUGAUAUCUCAGAUUUAGAUCAUUGAACUGGUAAGACUGAAACUUACGGGAUCAAGACUGGGAAUGCCGGGGUUGGCAGUAUAAUCCAAGGAAGUGGCAGUGGUAAUGCCAUUUACGUGGUCUUGAUCAUGCAUUGGACUGCAGAAAUAAGUGAGGAAACAAUGUGACGGGGUUUCUGGUUUGUACCUCUGGCUCAUUGGUUGUGAGGGAACAUGAGGCAGGGUAAAGUUUAUCCAGGUAAAAUGAGUUAGAUAUGUAGACUAUCUGGGUGUAUAUGCAGACUGCAGACAAUCAUGCUAAAAUCCUGGCUCUGCCUCUUGAAAGCUAUGUAGUUUAGGCACAUAGCCAAAACCCAGUUUCCUCAUCUAUGUGGUAAGCUUCAGAGCAGUUAAUAAAUCGUGAUAUGUAGUCCAGUGACUGGUUCCCCUGGUAAGAGCUGUGAUAAUGACACAAGGAGGAGAGGUUUCAGGACAAACUUGGGAUUCAUGAAUAUAUAAGUAGUCACUGACUGCCCAGGGGUAGAAUGACAACAAUCAAGAGAUGAGUAGAGAGGUUGGAAAGGAGUCAUGAGGGGUGGGAAACUAGCAGGGCACAUAGAAGCCAGGGAAAGAAUUUUGCUUGAGAUUGUCAAAGUGAGGGGAAAAGGGCAGUAAGUGAAGGAGAAAUGUAUGGGGUUCGGAGGUUUUGUUUUUGUAAAUCUGGAGUGAUGGGCAUGUUCAAAUACUUCUGGGAAAGGAGCUAAUAGUAGAGAAGCUUGGCCCUUCGAAAAACAGGAAGGGAGGGAUCCUAGGGGAGAGGAGGAAGGAUUAGCUUUAGAAGAAAGAUGCCCUCUUUACAUGAGGAAAAGGAAGAAAAGGUGGGUUUAGAUGGUAAAUCUGUAGGUUUGCUGUUAGGAAAUGAAGACUUUUCACCUUGGUCUCUGAAGUUUUUCUGGAGUUAGCAAGGCAAGGUCAUAUACUGAGAAGAAGGGAUGAGGGAAUGUAGAUUUGCAGACAUACAGGUUGUAAUUGCUUAUGGAGGAAAGGGGAGAGCACUUCUGUCAGACUGCCAGCGGCCUUGAGGGCCCUUUGGCUACAGUCCAUGAGGUGCUCAGAAGAUAAAGCUUCAGGGUAGAAGCAGUAUUCAAGCUGCACCUAGAAAAUAGUGCGAUAUAAAACAGUGGAAAUUGGAAAUUCCAAUCUUGGAAUCUCUAGGAAAGUAACUGAGGCAUAUGAUGCCUGAAAAGGAGUAGAAAAUAAAAUUAAUAAGGUGGGGCCAUAUGAUAAAAGAUUUGAGGCCUGGCACUGUGGCUCACACCUGUAAUCCCAGCACUUUGGGAGGCUGAGGCAGGUAGAUCACCUGAGGUCAGGAGUCCAAGACCAGCUUGGUCAACAUGGUGAAACCCCGUCUCUACUGAAAAUACAAAAAUUAGACAGGCAUGGAGCAUGCCUGUAAUCCCAGCUACCUGGGAGACAGGCAGGAGUAUCACUUGAAACCAGGAGGUGGAGGUUGCAGUGAGCUGACAUCACACCAUUGCACUCCAGCUUGUGCGACAGAGGGAAACUGUCUCAAAAGAAAAAAAGACUUGAGCAAGGGAGUACUCUUCAGGAAGUUUAGUAGUAUAGUAUGGAUUGGAUUGGGGGAUGGGGAAGGAGAGCAGAAAAUUGUCGAAAUAUCCAGGUACAUAAAAGUCUACUUUGAUUAUGGAGAACUACACACUUGUUCAGUCACCCUCAUUGGAGAUAGGGGAUGGCAUACGAAAAGAAUGCUGAUUUUGGGCUGGGCACGGUGGCUCACGCCUUUAAUCCCAGCACUUUGGGAGGCCGAGGGAGGUGGAUCACAGGUUCGAGACCAGCCUGGCCAAUGAAACCCAGUCUCUAUUAAAAAUAAAAAUAAAAAAAAAUAUGCUGAUUUGAGUCAUAUUCAGGUUUAAAUUCCGUCAUUCAGCCCAAACUCAUUACGUUACUUAUGUGAGUCUCAUCUAAAAAGCAAAGAUCCUGAUACCUGCCUCAUAUUAUGGCAAGGAUCAAAUGAGUCAAAUAAGAUGCUUGUGAAAGUGAGGACAGGAUCUAUCCUCAACACCUGGCACAAUUCUUUUUACACAUUAGGUACUUACUAAUUUGGGUUGAAUUGUGUUGAACUAACCUGGCGGUAUAGGCAAAAUUUGGAAGUUUGUUUUUCAGAAAGUCUUGACUUCCUCUAAUCUCUAAGUAAUUGGCAUGUCCUCUAAUUCAUAUUUUUCCCCUCUCAUCUGUUGGGUGAAAUACUGUUUAUCCCUUAGUACUAAAAUUAAAGGCUACCUCAUUCUUCUAGUUAGCUGAUUUUUAAAAAUCUAGACUAAACCAUAAGUCAUUUACAUUUAAAUAAAAUAUUACAGUUGAAAGUAAA